GAUGAAGAACGCAGUGAAAUGCGAUACGUAAUGUGAAUUGCAGAAUUCAGUGAAUCAUCGAAUCUUUGAACGCACAUUGCGCUCUCUGGUAUUCCGGAGAGCAUACUUGUUUGAGUAUCAGUAAACACCUCAACUCCUUUAUUGUAGUUGGACUUGAGCUAUCCCAACAGGACUUUUUGUUCCUGGCGGGAGGCUUGAAAUGCAGGUGCAGCUGGACUUUCUUCUGAGCUAUAAGCAUAUUUAUUUAAUCCCUUAACACGGAUUAUUACUUUUUUGCUGCAGCUAACAUAAAGGUUGAAUUUCCAUUGAGCUGACUGAUGCAGGAAUUUGGCAAGGAAUUUUUUUAAUGACUUGUUAAACUCGAUCUCAAAUCAAGUAAGACUACCCGCUGAACUUAAGCAUAUCAAUAAGCGGAGGA
rnacentral:misc_RNA from 1 species